rnacentral:rRNA from 1 species
UACGAAGGGGGCUAGCGUUGCUCGGAAUCACUGGGCGUAAAGCGCACGUAGGCGGAUUGCUAAGUCAGGGGUGAAAUCCUGGAGCUCAACUCCAGAACUGCCCUUGAUACUGGCGGUCUCGAGUCCGGGAGAGGUGAGUGGAACUGCGAGCGUAGAGGUGAAAUUCGUAGAUAUUCGCAAGAACACCAGUGGCGAAGGCGGCUCACUGGCCCGGUACUGACGCUGAGGUGCGAAAGCGUGGGGAGCAAACAGG